GGCUCUUUGUUUACAUAAAUAUAGGGAGUCGAGCCUGCCCAGUGAAUUUUUAAACGGCCGCGGUACUCUGACCGUGCAAAGGUAGCAUAAUCAUUUGCCUUAUAAUUGAAGGCUAGUAUGAAUGGUUUGACGAGAGCAACACUGUCUCCUUUUUAUUUUCAAGAACUUAACUUUUAGGUGAAGAGGCCUAAAUUUUAUUGAAGGACAAGAAGACCCUAUCGAGCUUAAAAGACAUUAUAGAAGUUUAUAUAUUUCUAAAUAAAUUUUCUAUUGAGCUUUUUAGUUGGGGCGACUAAGGAACAAAAAAAGCUUUUUGCUGAUAAUAGACAGUCAUGUUUAGAUCCGAUAAUAAUCGAUCAAAGAAAUUAGUUACCGUAGGGAUAACAGCAUAAUCUCUCUUGAGAGACCUAAUCGAAAGAGGGGGUUGUGACCUCGAUGUUGGACUAGAAUAUCCUAAAGAUGUAGAAGUCUUUGAAAGGUCGGUCUGUUCGACCGUUUAAAAUUCU
rnacentral:rRNA from 1 species